rnacentral:misc_RNA from 1 species
AAGGAGUCGUCUUCGUAUGCGAGUGUUCGGGUGUCAAACCCCUACGCGUAAUGAAAGUGAACGUAGGUGAGAGCUUCGGCGCAUCACCGACCGAUCCUGAUGUUCUCGGAUGGAUUUGAGUAAGAGCAUACGGGGCCGGACCCGAAAGAAGGUGAACUAUGCCUGUAUAGGGUGAAGCCAGAGGAAACUCUGGUGGAGGCUCGCAGCGGUUCUGACGUGCAAAUCGAUCGUCAAAUAUGGUCAUAGGGGCGAAAGACUAAUCGAACCUUCUAGUUGCUGGUUUCC